CUACUGGGGGCACACUGUGACAAUAACUAGCCCUGGCACCGCUCACAUUAAAUAGAUUUAAUUGUCCAGUUCGAGCGGUGCCUGGGCCGGCUUACAUCACGUGAUCGCCGCAGUCAGCUAGGAGCGGGAAGUUCAAUAGUGCUUAGCACAGCUUCCUUUAUCCCCUGUGUGCUCCAGGCACAAGCAUACAACAGCCCCGGGCAGCUCAUCCGGAUCACAUACCGGACUGAUGCUGCUGCUCCAGAGAAGGUGAACUCAUAAAGAAAGGAGGCGCAGCCCGUUCUCUAUUCUCUCCCCCUUCUGCGCCUCCUUCCUGCCCGACGGCCAUGGGCUGUCCCCCUGCCCACGGAGCUUCCACUGCAGACACGAUACUCCCCUGCAGGCAUACGCAGCUAUGGGCUGUCCCAGUGCCCUCCGGAGCUUCAUCUGCAGCCACGGUCCCCAGCACUUUCCGUGACAUCCACAGCGGCAGAGCUGAUCACUCCUUCUCAUAGGAUGCCAUGGCUGCGGGACCCGCGGAGGUGAUGGACGGAGUAGAGUGCACACUGAAAGAGCUGCUGAGGGGCCAGGACUCAGAGCGUCUGCAGGGAAAGGUGUCGGCGAAGCUGAGCCAGCUGGUGGUACUGGAGAGAGUAGCUGCCCACAGCCAAGAUGCUGAAAACCAAACACACCAGAACUUUGGGUUUCUGAGUAGAACUGAGUCCUAGCUCAGGUCAUCCUGCCAAGUUUGGAUCUCAGAUCUAUAAGAAGGUACAUCAAGUGUUUUGGAUUGCAUACCAGGGUUGGAACUUGGACUUGAUGGUGAAGCGGUGUGAAGAAAACUGGGUGUAUUAAUGAAAUUUCUGUGCAUGGGCAGGAGUCAGGAGACCUGCUAGUAUACUAGGAGAUAGUGGAGGACUUGAACAUGGAAUAGGAAAUGACAGAUGAAAACAGGUUGCCAGUGUAGACGAUGGUGGAGUAACCGACAUCAUAGGAGCUGAAUCUGGAGUAAUCGUAUUCGGACCUGCCCUUGCAAGAGUCACUUGAAUAAAGUCCAAAUGUG